CUCGANNNNACUGUCUCAGUCCGCCCCGACCGCGCCGCGCCCAGGCGGGGACCGGCCCACGCACCAAGGGCGCUCGGGGUCCGGCGGAUGCCGGCCACCCA
rnacentral:rRNA from 1 species